rnacentral:lncRNA from 1 species
CAACAUGUUUACAACAAAACAUAGUAGAUGUUUAAUAAAAUAUUUAUCUCCUUAAGGACUGAAGAGGCCAAAAAGCUUCAACCAUGAGUUAAAUACGGGAUAUACAUUUAUAGGUACUACCAAAGUCUGACAUAAAUACAUAUGUAACACAGCCAUGAGAAACUGUGACCAUAGGAUCACACACUCUACUACAUCUGUAUUAAGGUAUAAAACAAGGUUACAUCACAUAGACUAAGCUGAUUUAAGGACUCUUUUAUCAGGUGACAAAAGCUGUGACCAUGAACCAUCAUUUCUCUAAGACUUAAGCAUACAAUUUAAUUACCAUAAGUCACACACAGACUAUAGCAUCCCCUUACCCUCCCUCUGUGUCAUCUCCUAAACAGGCUGACACAGCACACCUGGCCCCUCUUGUGAUGUGUGCAGUGACCAUUAAUGGUGGCGGUCGGUCAGUCGUGGAAAUAGCAAUAUUGGGCACAUGCCCAUUCUACCUCGCCACUGCCAUUAAGGAAAGAAUCGAUUAAAAGUGACUCAAACCAACGCCUCCUCUAAUCUACUUGAUCACUUUAAACAAUAAAAGCUAAAAGCACACAAGGGUCGCCUCUUCCAUACAAUCUUUACGUGGUGAAGUAUUUAAUCCAGGUUUGGAUCACCCAAAGUUAGACAGUGAUUCUCUCCUGCGUGCACGGAUUCUGUUGGGCCUGACUCAUGAGGCACACGGAGAGAUGAGUCACGGGCAAGCCUAUUUGACCAUAUGAGGCUAUUUUAAGGCAAGUUCUCUCUCUCUCUCUCUCUCUCUCUCUCUCUCUCUCUCUCUCUCUCUCUCUCUCUCACACACACACACACACACACACACACACACACGCCAUUCAUCCACCUAUGGACUUUAUCAUAUGACAGUCCUAGGAAGGAAGCUGAGGUACAACGUACUCAACAUAAAUACAGACAUCAAACUGCAGAGACAUUCAUGGCUACAUCCCUCCCAUAACUAAAUGAGAACUCUUCCAAAUGUUUGUAUAUGACCCCAAAUACCCGAGUCUGAAUUCUAGAAAAAGUACUUUAAAUUAAAUUCUCCAAUAUCUUUGCAAUAAGGCUUUCCACACAAGGCUAAUUUUACUAUAAGGUUACUUUGACAGAAUUCUAUAAAAUAACACAAAUGUGCACCAAAACUCAAGCUAUUCUGUACUAAAGAGAGAGGCCUCGGUCUUAAAAGGGAUGGCAGGGUGAUUUAUUGAAAUUAUUCUUACUCCAAAAUCAAAAUUGAAAUACAUAGAAUUAAAUGAUUAUUUUUUUAAGCUUAAAAGCUGAACUACCAUGUUACAGAUGGCCAAACGUAUAAAGCACUUUAUUUAGUGCAGACAGACACACACUUUACCCUUACAUACAUAAUUCAACUAGAACACGAUUCAUAACAUAUAGAUUACAAAUUUUUUAAAAAAUCUGUAUAAUGCAAACUUUGCAGAAGUAGAUCUAGUCUUUACUUUCAAGUUAGAAAAGGCCUGACGGGUUCUCUUUGGGCAUUUCCAGGCGAUGGCUUUCUGAGAUAAAGAGUAACACAGAUCUGAGUCACAGGCCAUUUGGUGCAUUCACGUGCGAGCUACCAAUCUGGAGCCCUAGAGGCUAAGAACGAUGGAUGCUACACACUGCAGAAGAAAAAUACAAGAGCUUUCUGCUCUAACCCGAGACUUAGUCUAUGUGUUUUUUAAUUACUGGAUAGACUGAUGGAAUGCCAGUCAGUAAAAAUUUGAUUACCAGCUAGAGUCACAUUCAAAAUGUUUUCCUUAAAACUGGAAGGAGCUCCACAGUGUUCCCAAUACAAAGAUAAACUGGUAAGUAAAUAAACUAAUGAUAGGGAGAGCGCUUUAAAAAGUUACCACACUCAUUUCCUCGACCAAACCCUCGCUGACAUUAAGAGAGAAAAAUUUGAAUUAUUUUUUUGCCCAAUAAUUUAAUCAUUUACUACGGAAAAAACGUUGCUUUAGGGGUAGGUUUGGCAGGAAUCGCUUAUUACGUUUCCAGAUUAGAUUAAAAUAAAAGAAACAAGACAGGAUUAAAAAAAAUUAAGGCUACCUAACUGAACAAAUAAAAAUGAUGAUGGUGGUGGUGAUGAUGAUGGUGGUGGUGGUGGUGAUGAUGAUGAUGUUAGCAAAUGCUAACUGAGCAACUGUAGAGAUUCACAACCCAAAUUCCCCUCGUCCAGGAUGCCAGCUGCCAUCAGGUUGUGAGGUCCCGGCUCAUUCUGUUGUAGGAAGAUGUAAAAGCAUCCUUGGGAGCUGGCGAGAUGGCUCAGCGGGUAAGAGCCACCGUUCUUCCGAAGGUCCUGAGUUCAAAUCUCAGCAACCACGUGGUGGCUCACAACCACCCAUAAUGAGAUCUGACGCCCUCUACUGGUACGUCUGAAGUCAGCUACAGUGUACUUACGUAUAAUAAUAAAUAAAUCUUUGGGCCGGGGCAAGCAGGGACUGAGCGAGUGGAGUUGACUGGAGCAAAUGGGGCCAACUGGAGCUAGCAGGGUUGACCAGAGUGAGCAGGGCUGCCCGGAGCAAGCAGAGCCAACCAGAGAGAGCGGGGCCGACCUGGGCGAGCAGAGGUCCUAAAAAUUCAACUCCCAACAACCACAUAAAGGCUCACAACCAUCUGUAUAGCUACAGUGUACUCAUAUACAUUAAAUAAAUAAAUAAAUAAAUAAAUAAAUAAAUAAAUAAAUAAAUAAAUAAAUCUUUUUUUAAAACGCCUUGGUGGGUAGCACUGGUGCCAGUCCCAGAGCUGUUGCGAGCCGUUCCGAGGCUGGAAAUGUGCUAACCGUGAAGGUGGGUGAGGCCAAUUACAGUGUAUGUUCUCCUCUAGCUGGAAAGAUCUGAAGUCUACUUAUUUAGUAAUUAAAUAAACAGCCUCCACUUCAAUUCAAGCCCACUUGCACUUCCAGACACAGAUACCAACCAGCCACACCUUCUGCCCAUGGAAUGAGUCAUUCUUCUUCUCGGAAGGAGAACAAUUAGGAGACUUGAAUAAAACCCACUUUCCACUCUGGGAUAUGGCAGGGGGGUGGC